CCUACGGGAGGCUGCAGUGGGGAAUAUUGGGCAAUGGGCGCAAGCCUGACCCAGCAACGCCGCGUGAAGGAAGAAGGCUUUCGGGUUGUAAACUUCUUUUCUCAGGGACGAAGCAAGUGACGGUACCUGAGGAAUAAGCCACGGCUAACUACGUGCCAGCAGCCGCGGUAAUACGUAGGUGGCAAGCGUUAUCCGGAUUUACUGGGUGUAAAGGUCGUGUAGGCGGGGACGCAAAUCAGAUGUUAAAACCACGGGGUCAACCUGUGGCCUGCAGUUGAAACUGUGUUUCUUGAGUACUGGAGAGGCAGACGGAAUGCCUAGUGUAGCGGUGAAAUGCGUAGAUAUUAGGAGGAACACCAGUGGCGAAGGCGGUCUGCUGGACAGCAACUGACGCUGAGGCGCGAAAGCGUGGGGAGCAAACAGGAUUAGAUACCCUUGUAGUC
rnacentral:rRNA from 1 species